rnacentral:tRNA from 1 species
GUUAUGGUAGCUUAGCCAAAGCAUGGCACUGAAAAUGCCCAUCCGGAGGUUAAACCCCUCCCCUUGACA